AACCUAGCACACCUGCGGUGUGUACCUGCGGAAGGAUCAUUACAGAGUUAUCCAACUCCCAAACCCAUGUGAACUUAUCUCUUUGUUGCCUCGGCGCAAGCUACCCGGGACCCCGCGCCCCGGGCGGCCCGCCGGCGGACAAACCAAAACUCUUGUUAUCCUAGUUGAUUCUCUGAGCGUCUUAUUUAAUAAGUCAAAACUUUUAACAACGGAUCU
rnacentral:misc_RNA from 1 species